GACGAACGCUGGCGGCGUGCCUAAUACAUGCAAGUCGAGCGAACAGAAGCAGUAGAAUUACUUCGGUAAGGACGCUGUGGAAGUUAGCGGCGGAUGGGUGAGUAACACGUGGGUAACCUACCCUUAAGACUGGGAUACCACUUGGAAACAGGUGCUAAUACCGGAUAGGAGUAUGAGCUGCAUGGCUUAUACUUUAAAGGCGGCGAAAGCUGUCACUAAAGGAUGGACCCGCGGUGCAUUAGCUAGUUGGUAAGGUAACGGCUUACCAAGGCGACGAUGCAUAGCCGAGUUGAGAGACUGAUCGGCCACAUUGGGACUGAGACACGGCCCAAACUCCUACGGGAGGCAGCAGUAGGGAAUCUUCCACAAUGGACGCAAGUCUGAUGGAGCAACGCCGCGUGAGUGAAGAAGGUUUUCGGAUCGUAAAGCUCUGUUGUUGGUGAAGAAGGAUAUAGGUAGUAACUGGCCUAUAUUUGACGGUAAUCAACCAGAAAGUCACGGCUAACUACGUGCCAGCAGCCGCGGUAAUACGUAGGUGGCAAGCGUUGUCCGGAUUUAUUGGGCGUAAAGCGAGCGCAGGCGGAGAAAUAAGUCUGAUGUGAAAGCCCACGGCUCAACCGUGGAACUGCAUCGGAAACUGUUUUUCUUGAGUGCAGAAGAGGAGAGUGGAACUCCAUGUGUAGCGGUGGAAUGCGUAGAUAUAUGGAAGAACACCAGUGGCGAAGGCGGCUCUCUGGUCUGCAACUGACGCUGAGGCUCGAAAGCAUGGGUAGCGAACAGG
rnacentral:rRNA from 1 species